rnacentral:tRNA from 2 species
AAGGCUUUAAGUUAAAUAAAACUAAUAGCCUUCAAAGCUGUAAAUAUAGGGAAUCCUUUAAGCCUUA